rnacentral:sRNA from 1 species
UUUUUUUGUUGGUUGAUGUUUUUUUUUACUUAUGAGCUGAUGAUGAAAAAAAACAAUUAUCUUAGCGGAUUUCAGUGAGGUUUUUGAAUCAAUGAACUGAAUUUGUUACACACACUGAAGCUUAUUUGUUCUUUCAAUGUUUUUUGUUUUGUUUUGUUGGAUUACUGUUAUGGGUUUGAUGAUGAUGAUGCAAUGAUGAGAUAAAAGCACGAAGAGUGUGAGAAGAGCAGUGGGUUUACCGUGAGCUCUCCUUUAAAACGACUUCUCCUUCCACUGAGCAUUUUUUAUCAAAAAUUUUGCCCUAUUGAAGAAAGAGUUUUAGUGUUUUUUGUUUUUGUAUUGGCGUCCAUUACCAAUUCUGAGGGAUAAAAACAGUUCCUUCAGGUAUAAUGGCUUGUGACGCUAUAUUGGUUGUGGUAUAUCCUGAUCUUUUUGCUUUUUUCCAUGCCUUUUGAUCCUGGAAAUGCCUCGCACAUUAUAU